rnacentral:lncRNA from 1 species
AACCGCACAUCAGAGCCAGAUCAUCACGGCUUGGGACGAUUUUUGAAGGCAGUUCAUAUAGGAUCAAGGCUAUGGAAUCAUUGGGAUUGAGCGGGAAGCUUGGGGAGCAAGAGAUUAACGGGUUUUUCUACUUGAUUUUCUUUAGUUUUCUAUUUUUUCUUGUUUGUCAUCGAUGAAUUCUUGUUCUAAACCUUGUUUAUUUGCUUUUAAAGUUAUGAUGCUUGGCUAAACAUUUAAGUCACCUAGACUUGAUGAAUGGAUUGAUGUUUGAUUUAAUGGUUUGA